rnacentral:lncRNA from 1 species
AUGGGAGAAGAUUCAUGUAAAUGGCUGCGUUGGGAAACAGAGCAAACCGUAAUCAUUCACCACCAGAAUCACCACUUUCAGGAGAUGGAACUUCUACUAAUGACUUCAACGAAGCAGCCAACGAGUAUUUUCAAGCUUCAAUCACUUUUCCACACCCCUUUCUGGGAAGGUAACAGGAAACAGCAUUCAAAAGAGAAGCCCAAGGCGGCCAUCAGACAUGACUCUUGAAUCCACGUUACCCAAAACCCGUACCCACUGGGCAGAAAAUUUAUCUUUCUAAACUUCUUCAGUUUAGCUCUAGCACCUUAUUAAAUUUCUUAAAUUAGGACUUAAUUAGUAAAUUCAAAAAUAAUUGCUACAAGGGAAAAUGAGGAAAGCUUCCUUUUUUAGUGUCCUUCUGAAGAAGAGAAAAACAUUCACUAAAGUGCUUUCUUUGACUUUUUGGAGAUGGAAACUUAAAAACAUUAUUUUAAUCUUCUGCUGUUAUUUGCAUUUCCUCAUUUUGAAAAGAAAGUGUUUAGAAAUAGAAGCCCAAACCUCACUAUUAUGAAAUAUAUUUCUGUAACAAACCUGCACAUGGACCCCCUGAAUCUAAAAUAAAACGAUAAUAACAGAAUGAUCACAAAAAAUACAUAUGGCCAAUAAAAAUGAAAAACGUCCAUUCAUUAGUAAUUUAAGAACUAUAAAUAAAGCAGUGAAAUAUCAUUUUUCCCAUUUAUCAAACUGGCAAAGAUUGAAAAUUGGCAGGAGAACGGAGGGGAAAUUCUUAUAAACAUGCUUGUAUGUGGGGAUGUAAAUCUGCUAUAAUUUUUGCUACAACCAUGUUGACGGGAGGUUUUGGCAAUGUUGAUUGAGAGUUUGAAAAUAUUCUAUUUAAAGUUGUGUACCAAUGUAAUAAUCAGAGGUACACACAAAAAUUUAUAUUUCAAGAAAGGUUUAUUGCUGAAUUUUUAUAACAGCCCAAAAUUGGAAAUAACCCAAAUGCCCACCCAUAGGGGACUGGUGAAAUAAAUGAUGGUACAUUUGUAUAUGGGAACAACAUGCAAAAAAAUUUUUUAAAACCCAUGAUUUUAAAAACUAUUUACUAAUAUGUUUAUAAUAUACCAUUAAAUAAAAAGAGGAAAAUCUGAUAAAAUCAUAUUUAGAGCAUUAUUCCAGUUUUGUGACAUGUGUCUACAUGCAUGAAAAUCCUGCAAGGGUAUAUAUCAAUAUUUGUGCAUGAUAGGACUUUGGGUGAUUUUUGUUUUCUGAUAUUUUCUGUAUUAUCUGUAUUCUCUACAAUGAGCAUAUUCUACCGGACAACAAUGAAUCAAUACUUUGAAUUAUACGAAACAGAUUUUCUGCUUUGUUUGCAUCUCGC